rnacentral:rRNA from 1 species
ACGAAUUCGCCCUUGAGUUUGAUCCUGGCUCAGAACGAACGCUGGCGGCGUGCUUAACACAUGCAAGUCGAACGCGAAAGGGGCUUCGGUCCUGAGUAAAGUGGCGCACGGGUGAGUAACGCGUGGAUAAUCUACCUGACAUACCGGGAUAACAUUUCGAAAGGGGUGCUAAUACCGGAUAAGACCACGAUUCCUUAGGGUAAUGGGGUAAAAGGUGGGGACCUUCGGGCCUACCGAUGUUGGAUGAGUCCGCGUACCAUUAGCUAGUUGGUGGGGUAAAGGCCUACCAAGGCGACGAUGGUUAGCUGGUCUGAGAGGAUGAUCAGCCACACUGGAACUGAGACACGGUCCAGACUCCUACGGGAGGCAGCAGUGGGGAAUUUUGCGCAAUGGGGGAAACCCUGACGCAGCAACGCCGCGUGAGUGAUGAAGGCCUUCGGGUCGUAAAGCUCUGUCAGAGGGGAAGAAGUGUGGGGUGGCUAAUAUCCAUUUCACUUGACGGUACCUUCAAAGGAAGCACCGGCUAACUCCGUGCCAGCAGCCGCGGUAAUACGGAGGGUGCGAGCGUUGUUCGGAAUUAUUGGGCGUAAAGCGCGUGUAGGCGGUUUUUUAAGUCUGAUGUGAAAGCCCUGGGCUCAACCCGGGAAGUGCAUUGGAAACUGGGAGACUUGAAUACGGGAGAGGGCAGUGGAAUUCCUGGUGUAGGAGUGAAAUCCGUAGAUAUCAGGAGGAACACCGGUGGCGAAGGCGGCUGCCUGGACCGAUAUUGACGCUGAGACGCGAAAGCGUGGGGAGCAAACAGGAUUAGAUACCCUGGUAGUCCACGCCGUAAACGAUGAGUACUAGGUGUUGCGGGUAUUGACCCCUGCAGUGCCGCAGCUAACGCAUUAAGUACUCCGCCUGGGAAGUACGGUCGCAAGACUAAAACUCAAAGGAAUUGACGGGGGGCCCGCACAAGCGGUGGAGC